AUUGACCGCUGGCGGCAGGCUUAACACAUGCAAGUCGAGAGAGCGGCGGACGGGUGAGUAAUGUCUGGGAAACUGCCUGAUGGAGGGGGAUAACUACUGGAAACGGUAGCUAAUACAGCAUACCAUCAGAUGUGCCCAGAUGGGCUUAGAUCGUAGGUGGGGUAAUGGCUCACCUAGGCGACGAUCCCUAGAUGGUCUCAGAGGAUGACCAGCCACACUUGAACGGAGUCACGUUCCAGACUCCGACGGGAGGCAGCAGUGGGGAAUAUUGCACAAUGGGCGCAAGCCUGAUGCAGCCAUGCCGCGUGUGUGAAGAAGGCCUUCGGGUUGUAAAGCACUUGCAGCGAGGAGGCGUUACUCGCAGAAGAAGCACCGGCUAACUCCGUGCCAGCAGCCGCGGUAAUUC
rnacentral:rRNA from 1 species